UACCCCAAACCGACACAGGUGGUCAGGUAGAGAAUACCAAGGCGCUUGAGAGAACUCGGGUGAAGGAACUAGGCAAAAUGGUGCCGUAACUUCGGGAGAAGGCACGCUGACACGUAGGUGAAGUGAUUUACUCACGGAGCUGAAGUCAGUCGAAGAUACCAGCUGGCUGCAACUGUUUAUUAAAAACACAGCACUGUGCAAACACGAAAGUGGACGUAUACGGUGUGACGCCUGCCCGGUGCCGGAAGGUUAAUUGAUGGGGUCAGCGCAAGCGAAGCUCCUGAUCGAAGCCCCGGUAAACGGCGGCCGUAACUAUAACGGUCCUAAGGUAGCGAAAUUCCUUGUCGGGUAAGUUCCGACCUGCACGAAUGGCGUAAUGAUGGCCAGGCUGUCUCCACCCGAGACUCAGUGAAAUUGAACUCGCUGUGAAGAUGCAGUGUACCCGCGGCAAGACGGAAAGACCCCGUGAACCUUUACUAUAGCUUGACACUGAACAUUGAGCCUUGAUGUGUAGGAUAGGUGGGAGGCUUUGAAGCGUGGACGCCAGUCUGCGUGGAGCCGACCUUGAAAUACCACCCUUUAAUGUUUGAUGUUCUAACGUGGACCCGUAAUCCGGGUUGCGGACAGUGUCUGGUGGGUAGUUUGACUGGGGCGGUCUCCUCCUAAAGAGUAACGGAGGAGCACGAAGGUUGGCUAAUCCUGGUCGGACAUCAGGAGGUUAGUGCAAUGGCAUAAGCCAGCUUGACUGCGAGCGUGACGGCGCGAGCAGGUGCGAAAGCAGGUCAUAGUGAUCCGGUGGUUCUGAAUGGAAGGGCCAUCGCUCAACGGAUAAAAGGUACUCCGGGGAUAACAGGCUGAUACCGCCCAAGAGUUCAUAUCGACGGCGGUGUUUGGCACCUCGAUGUCGGCUCAUCACAUCCUGGGGCUGAAGUAGGUCCCAAGGGUAUGGCUGUUCGCCAUUUAAAGUGGUACGCGAGCUGGGUUUAGAACGUCGUGAGACAGUUCGGUCCCUAUCUGCCGUGGGCGCUGGAGAACUGAGGGGGGCUGCUCCUAGUACGAGAGGACCGGAGUGGACGCAUCACUGGUGUUCGGGUUGUCAUGCCAAUGGCACUGCCCGGUAGCUAAAUGCGGAAGAGAUAAGUGCUGAAAGCAUCUAAGCACGAAACUUGCCCCGAGAUGAGUUCUCCCUGAGACUUAAAGUCUCCUGAAGGAACGUUGAAGACGACGACGUUGAUAGGCCGGGUGUGUAAGCGCAGCGAUGCGUUGAGCUAACCGGUACUAAUGAACCGUGAGGCUUAACCUUAC
rnacentral:rRNA from 1 species